UGGUAAUAGUGGCACAGAGAGCAGCUCAAGCUAUUGAGUGCUGUCUCAAGAAAGAAAGAGACUGCAUGUGACUCAGAGAAGAGGGUUUUCUACAAGAUGACCUUAACUCCAUGAUGGGCCUCCUGAAUGCUGGGACUAAAGGUUGAGAAUGACAGGUUGAAAACAUUAGGAUUGGGAGACUCCCAAGAGGAAUAAGGCACCAUUUGAAGGCAUCACCAGAACAUCUGCGUCCUGCAUCAUGCUUUUCUCUGUUUUCUGACAACCUGGAAUGAGAAAUGAGGAUUCUAGCCUUGUCAGCAGAGUGAAGAGCUGAGGAGACUGCUGAAUUGGAG
rnacentral:lncRNA from 1 species